CUGCGUGCGUGACUCGGUCUCCCUGGCGGUCUCUGGUCUUUGGGGGAUACUGCAACCUGGGCAUAACAGAACCAAACAUAUGCAAGGAAAAAUAACUAUACUUCAGGAACCCAAGAAUCAGACAGGAGAAGAAAUAGAACACCCAGACUAAAUGGCUCCUAACAGAAAACAAUUGCUGAUGGAAACAAAAAAACCACUGGAACAAUUAAGUAAGGAAAUAUCCCAUGCUGGACAGAGCACCUAACUGGACUCCUUUACGUACUUAUCUCCUGGACGCCUGUUCUCCACUAAACAGCCAGAAGGAUGUGUUCAACCAUAAGUCAUAUCAUAGCCCUUGGAACACAGUCCCCCUUGGGCUUCCCAACCUUUUCAAGGUUCCUCCUGAAUCUGUGUCUCCUGGAUUGGAAUUCCUAAAGACCUCAAAUAAGCUUUUGGUCUGCUUUGCAGCCUAAAUACUUUUCUGUUUGAUGAUACUCAGAAGAGAAUGAUCAUUGGACCUCCUCCAGCAUCUUUUGGCACCCAGGAAUACAGUUCCUACUGAUCAUUUCAGUGAGCAAAUAUCCAUAAAAAUCUAU